rnacentral:rRNA from 1 species
GUGGGGAAUAUUGGACAAUGGGGGGAACCCUGAUCCAGCCAUGCCGCGUGUGUGAAGAAGGCCUUUUGGUUGUAAAGCACUUUAAGCGAGGAGGAGGCUACCGAGAUUAAUACUCUUGGAUAGUGGACGUUACUCGCAGAAUAAGCACCGGCUAACUCUGUGCCAGCAGCCGCGGUAAUACAGAGGGUGCAAGCGUUAAUCGGAUUUACUGGGCGUAAAGCGCGCGUAGGUGGCCAAUUAAGUCAAAUGUGAAAUCCCCGAGCUUAACUUGGGAAUUGCAUUCGAUACUGGUGGGCUAGAGUAUGGGAGAGGAUGGUAGAAUUCCAGGUGUAGCGGUGAAAUGCGUAGAGAUCUGGAGGAAUACCGAUGGCGAAGGCAGCCAUCUGGCCUAAUACUGACACUGAGGUGCGAAAGCAUGGGGAGCAAACAGGAUUAGAUACCCCGGUAGUCC